CACGGGGGUUGCGAGCGUUGUCCGGAAUUACUAGGCGUAAAGGGCAGGCAGGCGGAUCCAUAAGUUUAUCGUUUAAGGCGUCGGCUUAACCGGCGUAGGGCGGUAGAUACUGUGGAUCUGGAAUGCGGUUGGGGAAGACAGAAUCCUGGUGUAGCGGUGGAAUGCGCAGAGAUCAGGAGGAAUACCGAAGGCAAAGGCAGUCUUCCAAGCCGUUAUUGACGCUCAACUGCGAAGGUGUGGGUAUCAAACAGGAUUAGAUACCCGGGUAGUCCCUGAG
rnacentral:rRNA from 1 species